rnacentral:rRNA from 1 species
CCUACCAAGGCGACGACGGGUAGCCGGCCUGAGAGGGCGACCGGCCACACUGGGACUGAGACACGGCCCAGACUCCUACGGGAGGCAGCAGUGGGGAAUAUUGCACAAUGGGCGAAAGCCUGAUGCAGCGACGCCGCGUGAGGGAUGACGGCCUUCGGGUUGUAAACCUCUUUCAGCAGGGACGAAGCGAGAGUGACGGUACCUGCAGAAGAAGCACCGGCCAACUACGUGCCA